rnacentral:rRNA from 1 species
GAUGAACGCUGGCGGCGUGCCUAAUACAUGCAAGUCGAGCGAACAGACGAGGAGCUUGCUCCUCUGACGUUAGCGGCGGACGGGUGAGUAACACGUGGAUAACCUACCUAUAAGACUGGGAUAACUUCGGGAAACCGGAGCUAAUACCGGAUAAUAAAUUGUAACGAAUGGUUCAAUAGUGAAAGACGGUUUUGCUGUCACUUAUAGAUGGAUCCGCGCCGAAUUAGCUAGUUGGUAAGGUAACGGCUUACCAAGGCAACGAUGCGUAGCCGACCUGAGAGGGAGGACGGCCACACGGGAAGAGAGACACGGUCCACACUCCGACGGGAGGAAGCGGUAGGGAAUCCUACGCGAUGGACGAAUGCCUAACGGUGCAAAGCCGCGGGAGGGCUGACGGUCUUAGGAUCGUAAAACUAUGUAAUUAGGGAAGAACAAAUGUGUAAGUAACUAUGACCGUCUUGACGGUACCUGAUCAGAAAGCCACGGCUAACUACGUG